AUUCACUGCAUCGAAUGCAGGACCUGCCCACUAAAAACACCAUGAUGUCCCCGCCUCGAGCGCGAUUAAGGGAAUUCUGGGAACGCCAGCGGCACAUCUACUGCAAUUAUAUAAAGACUGGCCGUGUAACUCGUACUCUACACGGGAAUAUAAUGUGUAACCAACCAGUUGGAGAAGGAUAUUGCUAAAACAAGGAUUAAUUCGGUCUUCCAUGAUUCGCGAAUCAGAAGGAAGACAAAUUUUAUACCAGUUGGCUCUGUAGGAGAAACAGAGUUGAGAAGAGCAGACAAAAAAUUGUGAGAAUGAGGUGAAAUUUUUCAGACAAUACCAGAAGCAGGAAUAGUAACAAUAUAAACCGGAUCCUUAUCGUGUAAAGGUUAAUUUCCAGGGGUCUUCGAUUAUCUAAAUUGCAAACAACGCUAAUCGGACGAGAUCUAAUCGGUAAGAAAUUACUAGCGAAAGCAAACAGAUACAACUUCGAAUAACUAUAAAAUCUAAUCUUCCAUCUAUUAUCUAUCUUCUACCUAGUAAUCAGAAGUAAAGGGUUUGAUUAUGUAUUUUUUUACUGUUUUUUUCGGCGGUUUAUAAUUACAAUUUCAAGAAACACAGUUGUAAGAUACCACCGUAAUUCGACGUAAUUCUAUUUUUACGUCAUAAAUUAUUUACCCCCGGAAGCUCGAACUAAUGGGAACAGGAGGCAGAACUUAGCAUCUACGAUCGCAUAGUUUAUAACGAUAAUGUAAGCAGCGCCAGCGAUUCUACGAGUACAGUAGCUUAGCGGUACUAUCGAGUCGGUUUGGUAUGAAUAUUUUGGCGAAGUAUCGAACGGAUAUCGAUCCUGGUUGAUACUUACAUGGCUGGUAUUGUCCGAUACCAGAUUCUUUAUUUAUAGUCUGACAUCGAUAGUGUUUACUCGGUAUCAUUCCCAUCACUACUGCGAUUCCGUCAUCUUGUUGUUUGCGAGCGACGAUCAAUGUUCGGGAUCAACUUCAAAUAUGUACCCACGAAUUAUCGAUCGAUAACUCGGGUUUGUUCAGUCAGAUGUAUAUUAUACUACAUUUACGUUCAAGUUAUCGUUCACUCGUCACUUUUUCCAAGUUAUGGUUAACGAGAUUAAUAAAGACAUAGAUUUUACGAAACGUAGUUCUAUACGCGUUUCCACACACCGGUCUUUCGAGUUAGGGAAAUUCACGCGGUAGAAGAGCCUGCUAGAGCGUCAGAGGACAAGAGUCCAUUUAUCCUGUAAAUAUGAAAUAGGAAAGAUACUAUGGCGAACGUGGCCAAACGAAGAGUGUCUGGAAAACACAGGCAAGUUACGCAAGUGACUAUAAAUGGAUGGAUUAUAAAGGAAUUCUACAAUAUAAGUAACACAUUAUAAUACUGCCUAAGUGACUUAAUCCGGUCGAAUAAAAUUGCGGCGCAGAUUCUGAUGUUUCCUCCCAAGGUCCUAGCUGUUACAAAGAGACUAUACUUUUCCUCCUGCGACUCCAAGGCCUUCAACACGUCCAUCGCUGACAUUGAAAAGGAACAGCGGAUCACUGACCGUCCUACGUGUGGUUUCGGGCGUUCGUAUCAAGGCCGCCAAAGAUGCCAUAAGCAUCGUAAUAAUUGCUCGCGGGAGAACAUCAUCGAAAUGAUGAGACGCUUGAAUUCACUUGGGCCUCAUGACGCAGCUUUCAGGGAAUUCCGGAAGCCUCGAGACAUAUAAAUCUUUUAUUUCAGCAAUCCAUAAGAAUGAAGCCGGUUAACAGGUUGGUUCGAGCGAAUCCAGAAGAAAAAUGAUCGACACGAAGAGACGUGGGGCCUGAAAAGAAGCAAAACUGCGCGAGGAGUUGUAAUUUGCCCCAUUGAAACUUGCCUCAAAUUCAACGAAUGUAUGUGUGAAAAUUAUCGUCCUGUCUAAGUGACACCAACUCUAUUUAAAACCACGCUACUUUGAAGGAAAGGCAAAGGCAAUUAUUCUUUGAUCAAUAAACUUUCCAUCCGUUGAAAGUUUUAGCAUACGUGUCAAGUUCAUAUUAAAAGCAAAGUCAAAGAUCGAAACUUUUGAAUUAUAACCAUCACACUGGCGUCACAAUACGCGACACAUUUGAAC